rnacentral:rRNA from 1 species
UAGUCUAUGCUGUAAACGAUGAAUACUCGAUGUUGGCGAUACACUGUCAGCGUUCAAGCGAAAGCAUUAAGUAUUCCACCUGGGGAGUACGAUCGCAAGGUUGAAACUCAAAGGAAUUGACGGGGGCCCGCACAAGCGGUGGAGCAUGUGGUUUAAUUCGAUGGUACGCGAGGAAUCUUACCAGGGCUUAAAUGGUAUUGGACCGUUGCCGAAAGGUGACUUUCUUUAUGACCGAUAUCAAGGUGCUACAUGGCUGUCGUCAGCUCGUGCCGUGAGGUGUUGGGUUAAGUCCCGCAACGAGCGCAACCCCUAUCUUUAGUUGCCAUCAGGUUAUGCUGGGGACUCUAAAGAGACUGCCUAUGUAAGUAGAGAGGAAGGUGGGGACGACGUCAAGUCAUCAUGGCCCUUACGUCCUGGGCUACACACGUGCUACAAUGGCAGGUACAAUGAGCAGCCACUUGGCAACAAGGAGCAAAUCUCAAAAAGCCUAGUCUCAGUUC